rnacentral:rRNA from 1 species
UACAGGGGGUGCAAACGUUGCUCGGAAUCAUUGGGCGUAAAGCGCACGUAGGCGGUUCGUUAUGUCGGAUGUGAAAGCCCUUGGCUUAACCGAGGAAGUGCAUCCGAAACUGGCGAGCUAGAGUACUAAAGAGGAUCGCGGAAUUCCCGGUGUAGAGGUGAAAUUCGUAGAUAUCGGGAGGAACACCAGUGGCGAAGGCGGCGACCUGGGCCAAUAUUGACGCUGAGGUGCGAAAGCGUGGGGAGCAGACAGG